GUCGUCGCAGACAAUUUACAUUCAAUCCAUAGUAGCUGUAGAUGUUAUGUGCUUUAUGGAGUGUCUUGGUAACGUUUCCGCUAACAAAAGGGAAAAGUUUUAACAUGUGUGUACGCGGAUGUCUUCGUAAGGACAAUUUAUCACAAGAACACAUUUGAACACUAGCAGCAAGUUUGGAUACCAUGGAUAAUAAAGAUUUCUAGUGAUUUUAUUUGUUGUAUUUAAACAUUUUAGCAGCUAAACAUUCCCUUGUAAAUUUUUCAUUCAGAAUUCCUAAAACAAGCUUUAUGCUAAAUUCUCUUUGCAAAUGAAAAAUAAAUGUUUUGUUUAAGGAUAACUCCUUAGAUUUCUCGAAGACAUUGAUGUCACUUGACAGGAAGUACGGACGCAACUGCAUUUUUCCACCAUCAAGACAUCGAAGGAGAAAAUUGUACAUCUUUAUAGUUAUCUCAGAUACGUCAAGUUCGUCUACUGAUUGGUUUAUCAUUUUCAGUUUGUCCAGUACAUAAAACACGCUAUUUUUUAACAUAUAGCUUUUAAUUAAAUUAGAUGGGCAUGUGCGACGUGGUUUUUCAUAUUCUAGGCUUACUUCCUCCAGCUUGUAUUGUUUUGUUUCAACAUCAAUUUCAGGACAUACGCUUUUCAAAAUUUUUGCAAGGACAUAAGCUUGUCGAAAAUUAUUUGGAAUUGACUUCAUAAGGCAAAUCUCUGCAGGAGCGGCUGAAAUCCGCAACAUUCUCUUCUUUGCUAAAUCUACGUCAUUGUCUUCAGUAUUACAUGUUCGGCUGAUACAGCCGCUUUCGUGAAUAUAAUUUUGGCGGGCUUUUGUUUGCAGCGUCAGGAAACAGCCGGCUGCUUUAAUGCAUGGACUAACAAGAGGUAUUUUGUCAACAUCAGUAUUGAUUGGCCACCAUCCUCUUUUGUAAACUGCAGGAACAAGAUCUAUACUGAUUCUCAGUUGCUUAUAAACAGAACCCAGCCAAUACACAUCAAAAGUAAACACGGGUUUAGCGAAAAUUUUCCCCAUCUUAUUUUCAACGUUAUAGUAGAAAUUUCCCUCCUUCCAUAGAUUAGAUUCAUUCAGUGCUCUUUGCAAAUAAUCGUAGAAUAAUCUCAGAAAUAAAAUAGGCAAGAAAUAGCCAUCAGCAUCAGUAAAUGGUAGAUACUCGUCAAGAACUUGUGUAGAUUUAAAUUUCAGAGAAGCAAAUCCAGAUUUCAAAAGAUUGUCUGUCAGUACAAUGUCAGUUAUAUCAUUUAACUUAUCUAGACAUAAAAUAAAAUCAAAUUCAUCUGGACGGCCAAUUUUUGUUCCUUCAGCCAUGCUUCCAGAUGGAAAAACUGACAUUUCAAAUCUAGAAUCGUAUUUUUGAAUUUGCUUACAAAGCAACGUGACAAGAUUGUUAACAUUGAAUGUAACAGAUUCUACUUCAAGGAAAUAUUUGGGACUUCUGGUAUAAAACGACUCAAGAAGGUAGUUCAUGAAGUCUUUUAAAUUCAAUGGUAGUUGUAACAGUGUCUGAAUAUCUUGUGUUGAUUUCAUACAAGACGAUAUUAUCGUCUCCGGUAGUCCUUGAAGAAUUUCUUCAAACGUCUUGUCUCUAAGCAUUGUUUUUCGAAUGAAUGUCAUGAUGUGUUCUAUUGCCGUUCUGUCUGCUGCUUUUAAUAGCGCAAUGCAUCGAAAACUAUUAUGUCUCUGUGCUGUAUCCAGAGGUCUUUCUUGGAGAUUAUCGCGAGCAUUUAUAUCUGCACCAUAUUUUAACAACAUCUCUAUUUGUUCCUCAUAAUUGUGGUACGCUGCAAAAUGUAAAGGUGUAGAUCCAUAUAUGUCACUGGAAUUUACAUUUACUAUCCCCUUUAUCAGGAAGGUUCUGAAUAAAUCUGGUAAAGGUCUAUAUUUCAUGAUAGACAUCAAAGCACUUCGACCCCAUCUAUCAUUAAUUUCUAAAUCUGCAUUGAACUUACAAAAAAUAUUAAAAAUGUGCUCACUUAACGUCAAGGAUAAAACAGAUUCUCCGUACAUGUUUUGUGCGUUUAUGUUGGCACCAAUUUCUAGGAGAUAUUCUAAUACAUCUCCAUACGCCUCUCCAUGUGAAACACCACAAAUUUGAUGCAAUACUGUAUUUCCAAGUGUAUCAUUGACUUCAAGAGACACACCAUAGCUAAGGAUUGUUUUCAGAUUUUCAGCAGUUGUAUAGUCCCCUGCGCCAAUCAUUAAAUUCCAUGGCGUUCUUCCCAAAACAUCUCCACUGGAUAACAAUGCCCUUAAACUAGAGUGAUCAGAUUUUGCAAUGGAUUCAAACAAUUCCAUAACCUCUUCUACAAGUUCAUGGGUAACAUAAACAUGCAAAAAGUUUUCAUUCUUUUUGUUAAUCAAAUUUAAAUUUGUGUCAGGAAAAUUCGCAAUAAAAAACUUCAAUAACGGCGUGUUUUCCUCCCUCGUAGCAAUGAGAUGUAGGAUACCGUUUCCGAAUGUAGUCUGAUUGUUAACAUCGAUUCCGGCAUUGAUGAGAGCUUGCAAAGACUUUCUUAGUUGAAUACUAAAUGUUCGUUUAGUACGAAGUGGCAAUUCGGGUAUGUCAGCGUUAUCGGAUGAGAGUAGAUCCAUUACUGGCAAAUUGUCAUCUGAAUUGCUACUUUCCCCAUCAUUCGCAGCAAUGAGACUCUGUAGGGCGUUGUAUCCGUUUAUAUCUCUGCUAUUGAUUUCAAUACCAGAACACUUUGUCAAUAUCUCAAUAUUUUGUAAACAACCAGAUAUUGCAGCAUAUUGGAGUGGCGUUUGGCCCCACUUAUUACGGGCGUUGAUGUCUUCACCCUUUGUCAAUAAAUUCGCAAUGUUAACUUUCCCGUCUUGGUUUUUAUUUUUGGCUGCUAAAUGUAGAGGUGUUUCACCUUUUGUGUUAACUACGUUGUAUUUGAUCAAUUUUCUGCUUGUUGCCAUUUCUCAGUUAAGAAACUACACAAAAGUGUAUUAUUUUCUGUAGAUUAAAAGCCAACAGUAAUGAUUAACUUCCUUCUCAUUUAUCUGUCCCCCAUAUUGCAUGCUAGUAACUGGCUUCAUAACUUGAAAUCGAUUGAAAAGUCUUUGACAGGCAGAAUGUCUUGAUCACAAUAUCUGCAAAACAAAACGUGCUUGAAGAUAAUAAUACAAAAAUUGUUUUUUUUAUGUCUGUUAUUUUUCAAAUUAUAUCGUACGAUAUAUAUAUAAAAUGU
rnacentral:lncRNA from 1 species